rnacentral:rRNA from 1 species
UACGUAGGGACCAAGCGUUGUCCGGAAUUACUGGGCGUAAAGCGCGUGUAGGCGGCUAUGUAAGUCGGGCGUGAAAUCCCACGGCUCAACCGUGGAAGUGCACCCGAAACUGCGUAGCUAGAGUCCUGGAGAGGAAGGUGGAAUGCUUGGUGUAGAGGUGAAAUUCGUAGAUAUCAAGCGGAACACCGGUGGCGAAGGCGGCCUUCUGGACAGUGACUGACGCUGAGACGCGAAAGCGUGGGGAGCAAACAGG